AAAUGAAUAGACGGGGGCUUGCACAAGCGGUGGAGCGUGUGGCUUAAUUCGUCGCUAAGCGAAGAACCUUACCAGGGCUAGAAAUCCUACUGCACGCCUAGCGAAAGCUAGGAAGCCUUCGAGGGUGUAGGACAGGUGAUGCAUGGCUGUCGUCAGUUCGUGGUUUGAAUCGUUCCCUUCAGUGGGGUAACGAACGCAACCCUCGUUGCCUGUUACAAGUGUCAGGCGAGACUGCCCCCUCACGGGGGAGGAAGGUGAGGAUGACGCCAAGUCAGCAUGUCCCUCUGAUGUCCUGGGCUGCACACGCGCUACAAUGGCAUUUACAAAGGGGCGCAAUACGGCAACGUGGAGCAAAUCCCUAAAAGAUGCCUCAGUUCGGAUUGGGGUCUGCAACUCGACCCCAUGAAGCUGGAAUCGCUAGUAAUCGUGGGUCAGCCACACCACGGUGAAUACGUUCUCAAGCCUUGUACACACCGCCCGU
rnacentral:rRNA from 1 species